GAACUGAAACACCCAUCUGAAGGAGGAUUUAGCAGUAAGCAGGAAAUAGAGCGUUCUGCUGAAACUGGCCCUGAAGCGCGCACAUACCGCCCGUCACUCUCCCCAAAGCCACCUAAACAUUAAUUAAAGUCUAAUAAUCAAAAAGGGGAGGCAAGUCGUAACAUGGUAAGUGUACCGGAAGGUGCGCUUGGAAAAAUC
rnacentral:rRNA from 1 species